UUGAACGCUGGCGGCAGGCCUAACACAUGCAAGUCGAACGGUAACAGAAAGCAGCUUGCUGCUUUGCUGACGAGUGGCGGACGGGUGAGUAAUGUCUGGGAAACUGCCUGAUGGAGGGGGAUAACUACUGGAAACGGUAGCUAAUACCGCAUAACGUCGCAAGACCAAAGAGGGGGACCUUCGGGCCUCUUGCCAUCGGAUGUGCCCAGAUGGGAUUAGCUAGUAGGUGGGGUAACGGCUCACCUAGGCGACGAUCCCUAGCUGGUCUGAGAGGAUGACCAGCCACACUGGAACUGAGACACGGUCCAGACUCCUACGGGAGGCAGCAGUGGGGAAUAUUGCACAAUGGGCGCAAGCCUGAUGCAGCCAUGCCGCGUGUAUGAAGAAGGCCUUCGGGUUGUAAAGUACUUUCAGCGGGGAGGAAGGGAGUAAGGUUAAUACCUUUGCUCAUUGACGUUACCCGCAGAAGAAGCACCGGCUAACUCCGUG
rnacentral:rRNA from 1 species